UGGCCAAGGAUGCCCAAGGGUCCCAAACAAGGCUCUAGGAUGGUCCUACAGUAAAUGAUGUGUAGUUUUAACUUCAUAAAUGAGUGAGAUUUCUUUUUGGCAAAGAAGAGUUUAUAUAUGGAUGAACAAUCUAACACAGGUUUACACAUCAGCAGAAAGUACGUUAGGAUGUUGAAGGUUGCAAUUAGAGAACAGCGCUGGAUGUCCCUCGAGCAAAGAAGGAGGCUCCUUUAUCAUGGACCUUGUACUGAAAGAGUUUCUUCUGUGUGUUUUGUCCAUCGCCUUGUCUCCUCCUCCAACACACCUCCACCUCAAAACAAAGGAAUAAUUAGCCAGUUGGGAGACCCUGUACAUGAAGGGUGAGGCUACACUGGUGGGUCAGGCCCUUCAGGAGUCGCUCUGAGCCUUCAUCAUCUCCGUCGUCCACCACUUCCUCCCCAUCACAACGUACCAGCAUCACCGUGUUGCCCUGCAGUCACAAUCAAAGUCACAGUGAUAAGAGACAGAUUUUUUAUGCGAGUUGUUCACUGUUGAUUUGACGCCUAACCUCCUUACUGCAAGUUGAAGCCCAGUAGUAAAUAUUUUUUAUACAUAAAUACAAUCAAUCUAAAGGAUUUCAUGAGAUGAAAGCAAUACCACUUGAGAUUAUCAGUGCUGUAUUGAUUGACAAUGGCAUGUAUGUAAAAUGCUUAACCCUUGUGUUGUCUUCGGAUCAAAAAUGACCCGCCACUGUGUUUAACAGCAGAGAAAACUCCCUAAAUGAUCUUUUUUCAACUUGAAAUUCGAUGACUUUUCCUGAAGUGAGCCCAACAUUAGAAAAAAUGAAAUAUUGCCUUUGUUCCUAUUUCCAUGUAAGCUGCACACCAUCAGGGUACAAAGAUUGUCUUCGGGUCAUUUUUGACCCGGCAGUUAAAAUCACAGUCACAGAGUUAGUUACACACUUAAAAAACAACAGACACACACACACACACACACACACACACACACACACAAGCAAUUGAGUUUGUGUCCGACUGAUUGAUCUUAGACAGAACUACAACUUUCUCCUGCAGGUGCAGCAUCAUCUUUCCACAACCCCAUACAUGACUCAAGUUCAAACUAUUUCAGACAAAAAAUAAAGAUUUCUUGAAAGAAUUGUUCACUAAUGCCUCUACAUUCAGAGGCUGGAAAAGUGCUGCAGAUGACAGUACCCCGAGUUCUCUCUGUGCACGUUUUACUGCUGAACAGCCUAAUACUAACCAUAACCCGAACCACGAAAGCUGUUCAGGGGACUGGAUCUUUUCCUGAUCUACCUGAGGAUCCAGCUGGGACAGGUCUGCCCACCAAUGAAGGCCUGUAAAACACAUACUGUGUGCUGCACAUGUGAGAAAUAUAUCUGCAAAGUCCAUGCACACACAGUUGUGUACUGCCCUACAUGUGCUAAUUAGUUGAUUAAUUUAUGUUGUUCACAUUCUUUUUGUGUAUUUUAUUGUUGUCUAUUGUUUGUUGUGUUUAAACACUUAUUGGGUGGUAGCAAUGGUUAAAAAAUGGGGAUAUAUAUUUUGUUGUUUAAUUCCUAAUUGUAAAGAAAUUAAUAUAUAACUGUUCACUGGCAAAAAAAACCCCUGACUGUUGUUGGGCGCGCCUCCAAUGAAAUGCAUUCAAAACUA